rnacentral:lncRNA from 1 species
GUAUCUUUUAACUAAGACACCACAGCCUUCUAAGUGAUUUCCUGUACCAUGUGUAACAAGGAGACUGGACUCUGACAUCAGCCAUAAGCUCUGUGUAUAAAGGUCUUCUUUUCCCAUGUUUUCGGAUUUCUUUUUCUUAUGAUGGACACUUCAGUUUAAAUAACUUCUGAGCAUCUCCCAUUUACAUGUGGAAGAAGUCCUGGGAACAAGGCGACAGAAGUCCUGAGAUUAGAAGUGUUCAGCAAAUGUCAGAUGUGACUCAUCUAGUCAUGAAACCCAUAUGGGGACAGUUUUCUCCAGCUAUUGGAGAAAUAGGAACUUGUUCCACUAUUGCUGACUUUAUAGCUAGAGAAAGUCACAACAAGCAACAAGGGAGGUAAGAAUGACCUUCACUUCACAUGAACAAACAAACAGAACCCUCUGUCUCACAACCAGUGGAACUGAAUUUGAUCAAACCAUGAUGAGCUUGUCUGUUUGAAUCCACAAAACUCUUAGUAGGAACUC